rnacentral:rRNA from 1 species
UACGUAGGGUGCGAGCGUUAAUCGGAAUUACUGGGCGUAAAGCGUGCGCAGGCGGCGCGUUAAGACAGGUGUGAAAGCCCCGAGCUUAACUUGGGAAUUGCGCUUGUGACUGGCGUGCUGGAGUGUGGCAGAGGGAGGUAGAAUUCCACGUGUAGCAGUGAAAUGCGUAGAGAUGUGGAGGAAUACCGAUGGCGAAGGCAGCCUCCUGGGCUGACACUGACGCUCAGGCACGAAAGCGUGGGGAGCAAACAGG